rnacentral:rRNA from 1 species
GUGAUUAACAUUAAACCAUGGUAACGCCCCGAUUUAGUCUAUGGCCAACCACCCUCGGUAAAUUUCGUGCCAGCCACCGCGGUUACACGAAAGAUCUAAAAUAAUUAACCCCGGCGUAAAGCGUGACCAAAACACAGCCCACACCACCGAAGCAUGAGGCACAACAAGUGUNGUNNAACCCAGAUGCCAAUACAAACCACACCCGCUUCAUCCAAGGGGCUAUUUCCACUCACGAAAGCUAGGACNCAAACUAGGAUUAGAUACCCUACUA